CGAUAUACAUCUCCUGAUCACAGUCUUGAUCGCUACCCGAUAACCUCUCCAGGCUUCGCAUUAUCCCAAGGAAAGUAACGCGUUGGACCCCCUGGAAUUGCACACGGAUGCAAUAUUAAUCUUCGUCGAUCGGUUGAAAAUAUAAUGUAAAGUGUCAAAAGAAAAAAAUCAAUAAUCUUGUCAUGCAUCUCAUCGUUAAUUAUCGAAUGGGACAAUUGAGAAACAUUGGCACGAGAAACGUGCGCUAAACGAGAUAAUCGAAGUGGGAUAUCCCGUUUUCCCUGGCUAUGCUUGAUUCAAUGCCAAGAAUUCUUCGCACACAAUUACGUUCUCUGUGCUUUACGAUCUGCGAUUAAGUAAUUGUAUAUAUCAUUGUGGCGACGUACG